rnacentral:rRNA from 1 species
GACGAACGCUGGCGGCGUGCUUAACACAUGCAAGUCGAACGAGACGAUUGAAAGCUUGCUUUUGAAAGUCGAGUGGCAAACGGGUGAGUAACGCGUAGACAACCUGCCUUUGAGAUGGGGACAACAGUUCGAAAGGACUGCUAAUACCGAAUGUUGUAUAUUUUCCACAUGGAAGAUAUAUUAAAGAUGGCCUCUAUUUAUAAGCUAUCGCUCAAAGAUGGGUCUGCGUCUGAUUAGCUGGUUGGUGGGGUAACGGCCUACCAAGGCGACGAUCAGUAGCCGGGCUGAUAGGAUGGACGGCCACAUUGGGACUGAGACACGGCCAAGACUGCUACGGGAGGCAGCAGUGGGGAAUCUUCCACAAUGGACGAAAGUCUGAUGGAGCAACGCCGCGUGAGUGAAGAAGGGUUUCGGCUCGUAAAGCUCUGUUGUCGGGGACGAAUGUGCAGUAUUUGAAUAAAGUACUGCAAUGACGGUACCUGACGAGGAAGCCACGGCUAACUACGUGCCAGCCGCCGCGGUAA